rnacentral:lncRNA from 1 species
UGUCAAAAGGAGUGGGCUGAAUUCUACACUUUGUCGUCCAACUUCCCUUAUCUCAAUUGGAGACAGGACCAGUCCUGGAGCCUUGAAUGCCAAACACUAAGAAGAAUGUUAUCAUGGAGGGCAGCCUGUCUACUUCAGUUUCUUGUCUGUGGUCCACAUCUCCAGAAAAAGAAUGGAAAGCACUAGAAAUUGAGCUUAUCCACUGCCAGAGACAUGAGUGACUCAGCUCUCCAGUCUGUCCCCUUAUCACAUUCUCACCCUUCCCAAGUUUGGCUUCCACAGGAUUCAAGCCAGAUUUUCAGCAGGAGUAAAGUUUCUUAAGAAUUUUCCAUCAUUACUCCCCACAGUCAGAGAAAAGUGUACUUCCUCUCAUCAGAGUCCCAAGAUUCUGCCCUGUCCGUGUUCCCUGCUUGGACCGAGAUUUUUUUCCAAGACAGAGUCUACUGCUACCACCUCAGCCAUUUCUAGCACACAUUCCAUCCAUAUGGCCAAGUACAGAGAGCAAUUUGUGUGCAUGGUCAUCAACUACAUUUGAAGGACGACCUCCUCCCAAAACUACAAGUGGGAAGGAUGCUCAUCUUUACUCCCCAGGUCCUUGUCUGUCAGGAACUCAACCCCAAGUGGAAAAUCACAUAUCAAC